UUCAGGAUGGCGGGCGCGUCUUCGCGGCGCGUUCGUCGUUUGAUAUUUCCGUCGCCGACUCACCCGCAGACGUCGCGACCUGUUCGCGGUCGGUCCCUGCUCGGAGGAGUCACGUUCGAGUUCGUUGUGUGCGCGUUUCUGCGCGUUACACGGCGAAGACGUGAAUCUCUGGCUGGCCGUCGGACAGUACGUUCAACGGUGUCCGAUGCCGUCGUCUCGUACGCGCGCGCAUCGGUACCGGUCGGCGACGAAUUCUUCGGGCCUCUUUCCGACCCGUCUUGAAACACGGACCAAGGAGUCUAACAUGCGCGCGAGUCGCGGGGUGUCGAGCGUACCACGGUGCGUUCGUUACGUUGCGAAACCCGUACAUGUCGAAGGCGUAAUGAAAGUAAAUGGGGAAGAUGGUGUUCCGAGUACACGUUCCGCGGUCACUGGUACCGCGGCCGGACACCCGCAUUCCCGGGGCGUCUCAACGGCCCGUCGUAGAUGCGGAUCGCCGUCUCUCGGGGCGGUGGGUCGGUCCGCGACGAACCGAGGCGCACCUAUAGCGUGCACGUUGGUACCCGAAAGAU
rnacentral:rRNA from 1 species